UUCACCAUCUUUGACGUUUCCAUUUUCCACUCUUCUGUCAAAUGUGUGAACCAUUGUAGAUUACUCGCUGUUUUUGUUAGUAUUUGCCUAGAAAAUACAAUUUUUUCGAAACAGUUUUGUUCAAAGUGAGUACACAAGCUUAAUCAAUGAUGUCGGACGGGCCAGACACGCCGCCCUUUAGUACUGUCGACAUCAACAGCGAAAAUAGAGAUGAUGAAGAUCUUUUUGCAUCCGCGGUCCAGGAAGUAAGCUUGGACCCUGAGGUGAAUGGAGCAGCAGAAGGUCUGGAGAAGGCUACCAUAGGAGACCCUCCGUCCAUUACCACUACGCUUAGCAGUCCCAUCAUGGAGGAGAUAGCAACGGAGCGAGCCAACAAUAUAAUAAUAACGAUCACGGAUCCGCAAAAGAUCGGUGAAGGCAUGAGUUCGUACGUCGCCUACCGCGUGAUCACGAAGACCAACAUGCCGAUCUUCAGCAAACAGGAGCUGCUCGUGUGGAGGAGGUUCAGUGACUUCCUUGGGUUACAUGAGAAACUCACAGAGAAGUAUCUUAGGUCGGGACGGGUAAUACCACCGGCUCCGGAGAAAAGUAUAGUUGGUACAACAAAAUUGAAGAUGACGUCAACUCCUUCCACUGAAAGCGCCAAUGGCAGUAGUUCUUCGACAAGCGUCCAAUCCCAGUUCGUGGAGAGACGGCGGGCCUGUCUCGAGCGGUUUCUGAACAGAGUGGCCCAACAUCCCGUGCUGUGCAUUGAUCCUGACUUUAGGGAGUUCUUAGAGUCAGAUACGGAACUGCCAAAGGCCACGAGCACAUCGGCGCUAAGCGGGGCGGGGGUACUCCGCUUGUUCAAUAAAGUUGGAGAAACUGUCAACAAGAUCACAUACAGGAUGGACGAGUCUGAUCCUUGGUUCGAAGAGCGUUCGGGCCGCGUGGAGGCCCUGGAAGCGUGCCUGAGGCGGCUGUUCGGCGCGUGCGAGGCGCUGGCGCAGGAGCGGCGCGAGCUGGCGGCGCGCGCGCACGACGCGGCGCGCGCGCUGGCCGCGCUGGCCGCCGCCGACCCGCACGCGCCGCUCUCGCGCGCCCUCUCGCACACCGCUGAUCUGCAUGAGAAGAUAGAACAGUUGAGACUAGAGCAAUCCAACACGGACUUCUACGUCCUGACGGAACACAUCAAAGACUACCUCGGCCUCAUCGGCGCCAUCAAGGACGUGUUCCACGAAAGAGUCAAGGUAUUCCAAAACUGGCAACACGCUCAAAUGCAGCUCACGAAGCGGAGGGAGAACAAAGCGAAGGCGGAACUCGCCAACCGGCCGGAGAAGAUUGAACAGGCGGCCAACGAGAUUAUUGAGUGGGAAGCGAAAGUGGAGCGCGGUCAGCAGGAAUUCGAUCAGAUCUCGCGCGUCAUCAAGAAGGAAUUGGAGCGCUGGGAGGAGGCCAGACUCACAGAGUUGAGACUCACCCUGCUGAGAUAUCUGGAGCUACAUAUGCAGCAUCAGGCUCAGGCGAUCCGUUACUGGGACGCGUUCCUCCCCGAAGCGCGCGCCAUCAAAUGAGCCGGGGAGUGAGGGCCGGAGCCCCGACACACACACAGCUAAGCUAAUACUGUACACUUUCAAACUUUUCUUUUAAAAAAGGC